rnacentral:tRNA from 1 species
GGCAACGUGGCGGAGUGGUUAUCGCGCUAGCCUAGAAUCUCACUGGUAGCUAGUUCCUUCGGGAGCGUCAGUUCGAAUCUGGCCGUUGUCG